GAUGAACGCUGGCGGCGUGCCUAAUACAUGCAAGUCGAGCGAAUGGAUUAAGAGCUUGCUCUUAUGAAGUUAGCGGCGGACGGGUGAGUAACACGUGGGUAACCUGCCCAUAAGACUAGGAUAACUCCGGGAAACCGGGGCUAAUACCGGAUAACAUUUUGAACUGCACGGCUCGAAAUUGAAAGGCGGCUUCGGCUGUCACUUAUGGAUGUACCCGCGUCGCAUUAGCUAGUUGGUGAGGUAACGGCUCACCAAGGCAACGAUGCGUAGCCGACCUGAGAGGGUGAUCGGCCACACUGGGACUGAGACACGGCCCAGACUCCUACGGGAGGCAGCAGUAGGGAAUCUUCCGCAAUGGACGAAAGUCUGACGGAGCAACGCCGCGUGAGUGAUGAAGGCUUUCGGGUCGUAAAACUCUGUUGUUAGGGAAGAACAAGUGCUAGUUGAAUAAGCUGGCACCUUGACGGUACCUAACCAGAAAGCCACGGCUAACUACGUGCCAGCCGCCGCAGUAA
rnacentral:rRNA from 1 species